UGUUUAGUGUUAAUAGGAAACCCAAAAAAUAUAUUUUCCCUAUCUUCAGGGAAAAAAAGAAGAAAGGAAAUUGGCCUCUUUAUUUUUUUUUAAUACAUUUUGUUUUUAGGAUAUGGUGGGAAGGAAAUUAAGAACAAAGGGGGGCGUUGGGUACCUUCAUAAAUAACCAAAACGACACCGUUUAUAGAAAAUCACCUCUCUCACCCAUGCUCACCGUUUCAUGACCCAUGCCAAGUAAGCAGAGCCCUCUUUUCCGCCCAAGUUGAACCCUCGCGUACAUUAGUAACUUCACCCAUUUGCCCUUAGCCAUGGCAAGGGGGGAGCUAGGGCAGCUAAUAUUCACGUGAAUAGUGGUUGCCCUUGCAAAUAGUAUUUUGUGUUUCCACCCAUUGUCAUGGCUAAGGGCAAUUACUAUUCAUUUUUUUUGUUUUUUUCACAACU
rnacentral:lncRNA from 1 species